rnacentral:rRNA from 1 species
GAGUUUGAUCCUGGCUCAGAACGAACGCUGGCGGCGUGCUUAACACAUGCAAGUCGAGCGUGAUCCGGAGCUUGCUCCGGUGAAAGUGGCGCACGGGUGAGUAACGCGUGGAUAAUCUGCCCUGGUAUCUGGGAUAACAUCUCGAAAGGGGUGCUAAUACCGGAUAAGCCUACGGGAUCCUCGGAUUCUGCAGGAAAAGGUGGCCUCUAUUUAUAAGCUACCGUAUCAGGAUGAGUCCGCGUACCAUUAGCUAGUUGGUGGGGUAAUGGCCCACCAAGGCUACGAUGGUUAGCUGGUCUGAGAGGAUGAUCAGCCACACUGGAACUGAGACACGGUCCAGACUCCUACGGGAGGCAGCAGUGGGGAAUUUUGCGCAAUGGGGGAAACCCUGACGCAGCAACGCCGCGUGAGUGAUGAAGGCUUUCGGGUCGUAAAGCUCUGUCAGAGGGGAAGAAAUGAGACUGGCUAAUAUCCAGUUUUCUUGACGGUACCCUCAAAGGAAGCACCGGCUAACUCCGUGCCAGCAGCCGCGGUAAUAC